GAAGUCAGGAUGGCUGUUUUCUCUUGUG
rnacentral:piRNA from 1 species